GUGCUCGCUUUGGCAGCACAUAUACUAAAAUUGGAACGAUACAGAGAAGAUCAGCAUGGCCCCUGCGCAAAAAGGAAAACAAACAAACAAGUAGCUGAGUGGAUGUUU